GCCUUCUGUAGGCACACGGGGUCUUUGGUUCUGUCAUUACUUAAGUGCUGCCAGGCAAUGGCAGGAGUGGCUUCCUCUGGGCUUUGGGAAAACGUAUCUCUCUUUUAGUUGACAAAAGGGCUUUGAAUUAGAACACUAGAUUAAAGGGAGGAGCCUACUAACCAAUGAGGCAGCCCCAAAGCAGUCUGGAGGUGGAGCUAAUGAGGAACUUAGGACUCCUGACAAUAGCAAUGUGAGCGACCUUGGAAGCAGAUCCUCCAGCCCUAAUCAAGCCUUCAGAUGACCGCCUCCCCAGUCAUCUUUACUGAACCUCAAGAAAGAAUCUGAGCCAGACCACUCCACUGAGCUACUCCUGAAUUCCUGGCCUACAGAAACUCUAUGAAUAGCAUCAGCAUUCUUAUGAAUUUAGUCUGGCCCAAGUGUAUUCGUCUGGACCCAAUCAGGAGAGAGAAACCACACAGUAAUGGGAAGGACUUGGGAGAGCUGCCCAGUUCUGUAAGGUCUCCUUUCUGCAAGGAAGGGUAUGAAUAUCAAGGCACCAACUAUUCCACAUAGAUUACAUCAUGUAAUCCUCACAUCAAUCCUACAAAAGGGGAUACUGCAAUCAAUUUGGUGAUUUCCCUAAGAACAAAGUACAGAGUACCCCCUAAUUGUCAGAACUGCAG